GACGAACGCUGGCGGCGUGCUUAACACAUGCAAGUCGAACGGAAAGGCCCUGCUUUUGUGGGGUGCUCGAUUGGCGAACGGGUGUGUAACACGUGAGUAACCUGCCCUUGACUUUGGGAUAACUUCAGGAAACUGGGGCUAAUACCGGAUAUGAGCUCCUGCUGCAUGGUGGGGGUUGGAAAGUUUCGGCGGUUGGGGAUGGACUCGCGGCUUAUCAGCUUGUUGGUGGGGUAGUGGCUUACCAAGGCUUUGACGGGUAGCCGGCCUGAGAGGGUGACAGGCCACAUUGGGACUGAGGUAAGGCCCAGAGUCCUAUGGGAGGCAGCAGUGGGGAAUAUUGAACAAUGGGCGGAAGCCGGAUGAAGCAACGCCGCGUGCGGGAUGACGGCCUUAGGGUUGUAAACCGAUUUCGCCUGUGACGAAGCGUGAGUGACGGUAAUGGGUAAAGAAGCACCGGCUAAAUACGUG
rnacentral:rRNA from 1 species